GUCUGUACCACUGAAAAUGGUUUUUGGCAGGUGUAUGGGAUCUGUUAGGUCAGGGCCUGAACCAGUGAUUGAGCACCUGGUGAAGGGGUGUAGCCAGCCCCGGGAGCACAGGUGGAAGCAAUUCACUUGUGUGACCUACGGUCCACCCCUCCCUAACCUCAUUUAACGACUGGCAGCCGCAAGAGAAGUAUCUCUAGUUGGAGAUCACCUCCUUUGGAGCGUUGGGUGAGCUCUGAACCUCAGAAAGGGCAGGAGUGUGAUGUUUCAGCCAUUUCGAGGGGAUGCUGAUAAAUACCCUUGCUGGUAAAGAAUAAUUAUGGCAUUUUGUUAAGCCUGAGCAUGAAAUUGAAAAAAAAUGUAUAAUUGUUAAUUAAAAUGUAUAAUACUUUUUACAGACCGUGGUUAAAGGGCUUUGAAACAAUUGCAGAAAAUGAAUGAAUUGAAAUG
rnacentral:lncRNA from 1 species